GGGGCCGUAGCUCAGUUGGUAGAGCGCGUCGUUCGCAAUGACGAGGUCAGGGGUUCGACUCCCCUCGGCUCCACCA
rnacentral:tRNA from 83 species